rnacentral:lncRNA from 1 species
AAGUCCAUCUAUCCCAUGCAAGUGUUACCUAAUUACAAACAUGAAAUUUUUUUGGUUUCUUCAAAUCCUGUUCUGCCUGGCCAUGGUUCUCAUCAAUCCCUCGGUUGCUCCCAGGUAAUACCCUUUUGCUUUCAGUAAAUUUUCAUUUUAGUUCUUGAAUUUGAGACACUGUGAAGUAGUUGUUGAAAUUAGGAAAUAUUAAUAAAUCCCUAAAACUAAAAUUAAAAUUGCUGUCAUUUUAGUUUCAGAAAUAUACAACUUAUUUAUUAUUUAUUAUUAUUAUAGUUUCUAAGUUUUAACCACUCCAUCCACCGCUACCUAAGGUCUCCGAUUCACGGCCAUGAAGAUUUUCUUGAUUAGCUUAUAUAUAUAAAGUUUGGUUCUUCAAUAUAUAACUAUAUAUGUAGUAUCCCUUUUCUUCUAAACCUCUUUAAUUUCUGCUUGGGAUCACCAGAAAUAAGCAUAGUCCUAGCUAGCUACUCCAAUGUUUUUGGCUAUAUUUGUUUAAUUAAUACUUUGAUCUUUCUUGUUGCGCGUAAUAUAUAAUACCUCCAGUUAAUAAAGAAUGCUGUUUGUGAAUAUUGAAAAUCCUCGAGAUAGCAACGGAAUUAAAACUAUUCUAGUACAUGAAUACCAGUUCGCAAGUGAUGAUUACACUGUUACCUUCAAGAACACCAAAUUAUUUAUAAUACCUUUUUUACUGUGAAUGUAUUUAUUUGUAGGAAAAAUGUGUUUAACGUAGUUACAAUAAAAUCUUUGACUUUUAUAUUAAAUGAAUUUUAUCGUCAAACUUUAAAAAAUAUAUGAAUUUAGUCCUUCUAAAUUUUGAUGAAUUUUUAAAUAAGAUGGACUAAGUUCACAUGUUUUUUAAACAGUAUAAUAUGAAGUCUUAAUUAAGUUGAAUUUUCAGUAUUGCUAUUGAAAAAAAAAAUCUGAAAAACUCACUUGGACAGUACCUUCUUAAAUAGAGACGACUGACUCAGGGACUGAAUAUAUUUGGUCACAUCCUCACUUUACCUUAUUUUGAAUUAUUCAAAUUGGAUAGAUGUAUUAUAGUAUGUGCAUGUAACAUACGGUAUAAUCUAGAAAUUAAAGUUGGAAUCAGCCAUACCAUUCUUGAGGGCAAUGAAGUGACACAUUGGCUUGUACAUGGCCUUUCGUUCAUCCCAUUGCAUUUAAAAGGAAAUUAGCUAGCAUUUGGCAAUUGAAAACAAAACUUCUCUCUCUCUCUCUAUAUAUAUAUAUAUAGAAGUUUAAUUGACUUGUAGCCGUGUUCAAUUGACUUGACUUUAAAUGUUGCAUGAUUUUCAUUCCCUACACACCUUAGCAAAUAAUAAGGAUUAAGGACACCCUUCAAUGAUAUGAAUAUGAUCAGGCAAGCAGAACAAGAGAAGGGGAACUUUGACACUUCAGGCAACAGCCAUGUAGAACUCAUAAACUGCUUUGAGAAUUUGUUCUGAUGAUUCAACCAUAGACAUCGUUUCUUGCCGCGUACAGUUGCCAUCUCUUGAUCUCAUUUUGAAAUUAAGCUUGGAGAGUGACAACAAAAUGAUGUCAUUUUGCUAUCUGAUUUGUACUGAAAAGGUACCAAAAUAUACAUUAGUAACAUAUUAGUAAAACCAAGAAAUUCAACAGUGAAUGAGGUUAAUGUCCAACAAUGGAUGAAUUCAACAAGUAAAACCAAGAAAUGCAUAAAGCUAUAUUUUUUGUUAUUUGUACAGAAAAGAACCCAAAAUAUAGCCCUUUAAUAAGUUUAUUAUUUAUAAUAUAUUGAGAAAAGGAAUAGUUUAAGUGGCCAAUGUAGUCAACACAAAUAUUAAUCAUGUCAAGAGAAAAAUGUAUGAAUGCAACAAAUCCACUGUAGUGUCAAGUUAAGAAACAACUGUGCUGAAGUUAUAAAGGACCACUAGUUAGAUUCCCAAAAC